rnacentral:tRNA from 7 species
GCCUCUAGCGUAAUGGUUAAGGCUUCAGAGUAGCACCUCCAGGUCCCGGGUUCGAUCCCCAUCGGGGGCG